rnacentral:lncRNA from 1 species
CUUCCCACAGAGAGCGGUUUGAUAUGUCACUGAAACCAGCAUCCAGGUGGUAUUGCUCCAUAUGCCUGAGACCCUAACAAAAGCCUAAUUACAACUCAUAUGCCUGGAGCCAGGACAUGUGCAGGAUGGUGAUGUAACUUUCCUCUCUGGAAUGGGUCCUGCACAAAGGAAUGAUAGUAACAUAUUGCAAAGCCAGACACACAGCCAUGAUGGUCCAAGUUAUAUUGGGAUUCAGCCAAUAGAAGAUAUUUUGCCUGUCAUCCCUAAGCUUAGGACAAUAGGUAAAAUCCUGGGUUGCAUAUUUGUACAAAGCUCACAGAAGUUUACAACACUUACUCAUAAUGUAUAAACUUGGGUGGUACAGACAGUUUCAUAACAAGGCCCGGCAAAAAGUUAAGAUUGUGACUCUCAAUUACACACCCAGGUGAAAGUAAAAUCUGUCACCAUCCCA